UAAGGAAUAUUGGUCAAUGGACGAAAGUCUGAACCAGCCAUGCCGCGUGGAGGAUGAAUGCCCUCUGGGUUGUAAACUUCUUUUAUUUGGGACGAAACACUUCUUUUCUAAGGGGCUUGACGGUACCAGAUGAAUAAGCACCGGCUAACUCCGUGCCAGCAGCCGCGGUAAUACGGAGGGUGCAAGCGUUAUCCGGAUUCACUGGGUUUAAAGGGUGCGUAGGCGGACAUGUAAGUCUGUGGUGAAAUCUCCGAGCUUAACUCGGAAACUGCCGUGGAUACUAUAUGUCUUGAAUGUUGUGGAGGUUAGCGGAAUAUGUCAUGUAGCGGUGAAAUGCUUAGAUAUGACAUAGAACACCGAUUGCGAAGGCAGCUGGUUACACAACUAUUGACGCUGAGGCACGAAAGCGUGGGGAUCAAACAG
rnacentral:rRNA from 1 species